rnacentral:sRNA from 1 species
GAUUUGGAGGAAGUUGACAUGCGCAGACAUCAGGGUUAAGUUGAAAUGUGACGUCACUUCCGCCACCUGCUAUAUUCACAAUGAGACAACAAGAAUGCAGCUGAAGGACAGUAAAAGGAAAUACGAUAGCGUAUGACGUCACCGCGGGAGACGCCUCGACGGACAUGUUAUUUCCACUAUUGAUUACAGAGCUGGAAGAAAGAAGCAGACGUGGACACCACGUGAUCUCCAGAAGGUCAAAAACUCGAGAAAUUAGAUCACAACUUUUUUUUUUUCAAUCAUAGAAAUCUUGUGGCCAUUAAAGGUCAAUCCAUACUGAAGUAGAAAAGACACUCUUUUGUGGGUACAAAAAAAAAGCACCGUCCCUUAAAGAACAAGUUUUAGAUCUAGUUGCCAAUUUUAUUUGUCCGUCAAACAAAAUUUUGGCGAAAUAUUUACAUCAAGUGCUAACGUAAGAUGAAUCUCUUUUAAGCUUGCUAACGUCAUAUAGAGGCAGUUUCUCGCUCUCGCCUGCUUUUCAGAGCACGAGAUUUCAACUAGUGUAAGACAAAAUAAUUUUAUUCACACAAUUUUUGUUUCUCGAUGCUAUGUUUUUUUUUUCAAUAUGAGUUUUUGUACGCUUUAAUUAAUGUAAUGGAGCUGAUCUACAUUGUAUGUAACAUAGCCCUCAGUGGCGUAGCUAGGAUGAGGAGAUGGGGGUACACAUUUUUAAAUCCCCCGGCCCCCACUUGAGAGGACCCCCAAAUGAGUGUCCGAAAUUUGCUUUUACGUUAAAUACAAUGCCAUUAUCUCGUGUCAUGGUGUUGAAUGUCAAACUGCAGCGGCCCCUAAAGAAGUCAAGCCUCCCGGGCCCCCAAAUCCUUAGCUACGCCACUGGUAGCCAUUCGUAAACUAUUUCUUUAGAACCAACGUAGUCUAGUUGGUAAAUAGUCGAAUGUUGUUUUAGCUUAAUUAUUUAUUGUAUCAAGACGAUAGUAAAAGUUUAAUUAUAAUUUUAAAAAUUGAUAAUGAAUGCAAGAAAGUGGGGGGGGGGGGAGGCAGGUCAAUUUGUAGAACUAUGAGGCUCAGUUCCUUAAUCCAAUAUGAAACAUGUUAUUUGCUUUUUUUAGAUAACUCUAUCAACUUUAUUUUUUUUAAAAGUAUUAUUAAGUGAACUAAAGUUCAAUUAGUCGAGGUUGUAAUGGUUUUUGUAUAUGUACACAAUGAUCAAAAUUUAAUGCCAUGUUUGUACACGAACUCAUGUCCUUGACGUUCAAGAUAAUUUUGUUUUUGUUUCUAGAAAAUGUUUAUUUUCAUGAUCAAGCAAUCAAUAUGUACAUUGUAAACUGUUGACAGCGCAAUCCUGCUAAAUAGAACAUCUGGAGACAUUGUGAUAUGGUUAUUAUUUAAGAGCUUUUUGACAUUUUUAGGAGCAUUUUAACAUAUGUAAAAACAUUUUAAGAACAGUUGGAUUUAUUUAAGAACCAUUCAACACAUUAAAACCACAGUACAUGUUCAUAAUAAUGCGUUUUUAUUUCAUUUGGACUUUAAGUUUUAAAGUAUUCAUUAAAUCAUAUUCCAAUAAAAUACAAAUAAUACAUGAAACUGCACAUUUUAAAGCAAUGUCCGGACACUAUGGUUUACAAAUACAGUAUAUGGAUAACUGUGAUGUUUUUAAAAAUUAAUUUUACUCAAUCUUAUGUGAAUUAUCAUAUUUUCUUCUAUCAAUCAAUUUUAAAUAUAUACUUAAUUAAAAAAAACGGAUUCUC